GGAGUUGUGGCUUGCAUUUUGAAACGACGCUUUUAUUCCUCUUUCAUUGUUCUUAACGGAAGUACAUGUAAUUGAGUAUUCAGAAAAGGUAAUUCAGAAGCAAAAAAAGUUUGUGGGCCUACUUUACUAAAAGAUAUUUAAAAACUUCCGCCGGAAAAGACCGUUGAUGUGCCGUUUAAUAAUCGUAACCAAGCUAUUGGGAAAGAGGGUCGAAAGCUUGCUAGCUUUCUAGGAAUUAUUUCCAGAACUUCAGAACUAACACCUCUACAUGUAGAUGAUUGGAGAAAUUUUGACAACGAGGAAAGAAGAAAUUGGUAGAUUUUGUAAGGAAGAAGUUCUCUAUCCCAAAAUGUGGAGAAGCGUGAAUCUUAAAGUCACUAGGAAAGAAAGGGAAAGAUUACAAGUCCGGAUUUAAAAGUGAGUAUAUGCGAAAAUAUAAGACUAAAGACGCUUUGCUAAAAAAUAGACCAAGUCGUAUACCAAGGGAUCAAUGGAGUAGUCUUGUCUCUUAUUGGCUUUCUGAUAAAGCUAAGAGAUAAUCGAGUUAACGGAGAAACAAAAUGAAGAAAUGAAUAAGAUGAAACAAAAUCAGGAGAAGAUGCAAUUAGAACUGCUCCAAAUGAGACAAUUCAUGCGCAAAUAUGCUCCUAAUGCAUCUAUGCCUCAAAGUAGCAAUGGCACCUCAGAUACCUGACGCCAACAGUGGAUAUGAACAAGUACCACAAAUAUCAAAGAUACCUAAUGUUACUGAAAAUGCUCAACCUUCUCACGGUCAUACACCCUAAUGUUCGAUAAUUUAGCGGGUGGAAGAUUUCAAAAUGAUGAAAAGUGCGAAAAUCAUUUGAACAUCAUUAUUUGUCUGGAUUAGUUAUAUAAUGACAUUAGUUAUUUAGUUCAAACAAUAUAAGUUUAUUUUAAGU